AGUGUAGGUGAAAGCCACAGUAGUCUGACAGAUGAACAUUCAGAUCAUUCCACUUCAUCAUGGCUGGACGCCUGCUGCUGGUUGUUGCUCUGACAUUUUCAGGUUCCUUUAAUGUGGUCAAAGCUGGAGCUCUUCCUCCACCUGAACUCACAGUGAAUCCAUUGGUGAUCACAGAGACAGACUCAGUCACAUUGAACUGUGUGGCGCCACCAUCUGUUUCUGUGUCUCGGUGUCAUUUCUUCAUUGCAACACAAGAAACAUCCAAAAAUGUGUGUGUGGAGACACUGACAGGAACCAAGCUGCUGGAGAUGACACGUAAGCGUUCACCUGCUGAGGUUGAAGUCAGAUGUUAUAUCGUACAGUCUGACGCGAUUCAUUCUACAUCUCCAGACAGUAAAACAUCCACCAUCAUC